ACCAACAACAUCAUUUGGUACAUCAUCUGGCCAUAGGAGACCAGAACCGGCAACACCCGACACACCUAGUGCCGCCAUAGCAUGCGCCACUUUAUUACAGUUUCUCCUACAGAAUUUAAAUGAAACAUUGGAGAAAUUGAGACCAGCGAGCAUCUGUGCAUCCGCACUAUAACACCAAGUCUGUUGAUUGUUAGACGUGUACAAAGUUGUUCAUGAUACUAGAUCAGUACAUGGGAAUUAAGUUUGGAUUACAGCUGGUAGACCUGCUUAGAUAAAACUAUAAUGAUCCAUCGACUAUAAUC
rnacentral:lncRNA from 1 species